AACAGCUGGCAGCCAGGCAAGUGCAAAUAUAAGACACUCAAACAAAUAUAUGCUUUGUAUACAACCAUUCAAGGUAACAUUUGUUAUUUACAUCAAUGUUACAGCUAAUCUAGAAGAACCACAGUGUAUGCCAAUCAUGCUAACUCUUGUAAACUUGUUUUACUUGUCUUUAAUGACAGACACAUUACAGGUUAUGCUCCGGAAGAUGGAGACAUUGGAGGAGAACCAGCGAGAGACUCUCCUAUUCAGGCGACUACAGGGCAGACACACUGAAGAGGUGCCAGUGAUGGACCUACAGGUGGCCCAAACACAGGCUGAACUCCAAGACCUUGAGGAGCGCCUUAAGACGCUGUGAUGAAGUGGAAGACGGGACUGGGAGAGAAAGCUGUGGAGCUCCUCAUAGAGGAGACACUCAAACACACCCCGGCAGCCCAUUCAAAACAAGCCAGGGCCAACAGACAGGACCUGUAGCGGGGACUGGCAGAAGAUUUUAAUUCACUGUUUGGCACUUUGUUUGAAAUAAAAUGACAAUGUUACAU